rnacentral:misc_RNA from 1 species
GAUGAAGAACGUAGCGAAAUGCGAUACUUGGUGUGAAUUGCAGAAUCCCGUGAACCAUCGAGUCUUUGAACGCAAGUUGCGCCCGAAGCCAUUAGGCCGAGGGCACGCCUGCCUGGGCGUCACACGUCGUUGCCCCCCCAUCUACUCCUUCGGGAUUGCGGGGGGAGGAUGAUGGCCUCUCGUGCGCCUCGUCGCGCGGUUGGCCUAAAUGCCAAGUCCUCGGCGACGCACGCCACGACAAUCGGUGGUUGCGAAACCUCGGUUGCCUGUCGUGUGCGGUCGUCGCGCAUCGAGGGCUCGAAAAAAUUGCCGGGCUUCGGCUCGACUUUCAACGCGACCCCAGGUCAGGCGGGGUUACCCGCUGAAUUUAAGCAUAUCAAUAAGCGGAGGA